AGAUGGCGACCGGCGCACGGGUGAGUAACACGUAUCCAACCUGCCGAUAACUCGGGGAUAGCCUUUCGAAAGAAAGAUUAAUACCCGAUGGUAUAAUCAGACCGCAUGGUCUUGUUAUUAAAGAAUUUCGGUUAUCGAUGGGGAUGCGUUCCAUUAGGCAGUUGGUGAGGUAACGGCUCACCAAACCUUCGAUGGAUAGGGGUUCUGAGAGGAAGGUCCCCCACAUUGGAACUGAGACACGGUCAA
rnacentral:rRNA from 1 species